GACGAACGCUGGCGGCGUGCUUAACACAUGCAAGUCGAACGGUGAAGGGACCGGUUUUUGCUGGUUCUGGAUGAGUGGCGAACGGGUGAGUAACACGUGAGUAACCUGCCCCCUUCUUCUGGAUAACCGCAUGAAAGUGUGGCUAAUACGGGAUAUUCUGCGCCUGCUGCAUGGUGGGUGUGGGAAAGAUAUUGUUUCGGUGGGGGAUGGGCUCGCGGCCUAUCAGCUUGUUGGUGGGGUGAUGGCCUACCAAGGCGGUGACGGGUAGCCGGCCUGAGAGGGUGGACGGUCACACUGGGACUGAGACACGGCCCAGACUCCUACGUGAGGCAGCAGUGGGGAAUAUUGCACAAUGGGCGCAAGCCUGAUGCAGCGACGCCGCGUGAGGGAUGGAGGCCUUCGGGUUGUAAACCUCUUUCGCCAGUGAAGCAGGCCUGUCCCUUUUGUGGGUGGGUUGACGGUAGCUGGAUAAGAAGCGCCGGCUAACUACGUG
rnacentral:rRNA from 1 species